rnacentral:lncRNA from 1 species
CCGCGCCUGGGAACCCCCAUUUCUGACUCGACUAUUGAUCGACUCGCUUGGGAUUCCCCAAGGGAUUUUUUUUAAGACAAACAAACACGGGAAUCAUGCAUGAUUCCACCAAUGAAAAUGAAGCGAACAUGGGAAACAUGCGUGAUCAAAUAAUUCAACCAAUGACAGUAGCUUGUGAAUACGUCAUGUUUAGGCUCAAAAAGUGAAAAUUUUGCUUCAGAUAACGUAUAAAUAUCAUAGUUUGGCAGCAUAUCUUUCUUUAUACUGGAUGGACUCGGAGCAGAACUGUAUUGGAUUCGAUAGCAUUUCGUGAGAGCGAGCUAGGUACUCAUAAUACGUAAGAGGAGUUUUCGCCAAAAUCGCUUCAUAGGCGAAAUAAUUUACGUUGGACAACGUUGGCCUCCGAUCGAGCAACAGUCUUUUGACCACUGUUUAUUUCUACAAAACGGAGGAGCGAUUGUUGUAAGAAACUGAUUAUUGUCAAUAAUUUUCCAUCAAACAAACUGGAUUUUUGGUGUACACUAAGUUGCUUGCAAACCCUCCAUGGAUUAAGUUUGAUGUCACUGCAUCCAUUCCUUGAUAUGACCAAGAAGUUUAUACGACUGGAGUUCCAACGGGCAACAAAUUUAUUCAAGCAGCUGCUUAUUUCUGAAGAAAGCACAAACAAAAUCUACUACAGUGUAGUAAUGUUGCCUUUGAUAUUCGCCAUUCGAAGCCGCCAGUUUCCUGGGAAAAACCGAGAAGUGAUUUUUUUUAAAUAAUUUGUAUCAAUAGGUCUAUCUCAUCAUAUCAAUAAACGAACUGGAAAUUGGGCACCAAUCGAUAUUGUGCCAAGAUUUUUUUGCUAGAUUGUAUCAACUAGGCUUGAAUUAGUGAAGAAAGUAUGGAUUUGACCUUCAUAGAAUCCAGAUUUUGACACUUUUCCGAUCGUUCCCAACAUUAUAUAUACUAACAUAACAUACGGAUGUUAGAAUAUUAAUUGUUGUUCAUGAUUUUAUAUGUCAGAUUAGUGCACGCACAGUUAGUAUUCAGAAAAUAUUGCACCAUUUCUUUUCCCAUGCCCUGCAAGGUAAGAAUUAUGAACCGCUCACAAUACCAGACCGUAUAAUGCAGUUAAAAUGCAGGAAUAUGUUUUUUCUCCCCAUUUGCAAAUAAGAUUCAACAAAGUAAAUGCCUGGAUGAAAGUUUGCUGGCGGCUUCGAACUUGAUUCAAAGAGAAUUAGUUUGCUGACUGUGGCUCCAUCUCUAUUUAAACCUUGAUCAUAUAUACAUACCAAGAAAAUACAAGUGCAAUUUUAGAUCUAGUGGUACGGAGCUUCUCAGGCUUUUGGGGUGCAAUUAACCAUAAGAAAGAAGUUUUUAACAUUAGGCUGCAAUUGGUUGUAUUCUCCACUCUAAACGAUGGCGAAUCUGUUAGGGAAGGAGCAAAUUAAUUUUGUACCAUUGUGAAAACUUAUGCACCCUAAAACAUGCAAUGUUGCAUGUUGUAUUAUACAAACGAAUACUCAUGGGGGCAAACAAGACCAAAACCAGCCUUUCUCGCUCUUUUAUUCAUCGGGGGCAAGUUAAGUAUACACUUUUAAAGGGGGGUCCAGGCUAAAAAUACCACAGUUUGAAGUGGUAAAGAAAAAUCAGACAAAACACUGAAAAGUUCUUCAAAAUUG